AAUUCUCAACCUUGCUUGCUUUUGCGAGUGAGGCUUGGAUGUGAGGGCUUUGCUGGCUUCCUUCAGUGGAUGGUCUGCUCCCUUUAAAUGCAUUAGUGGGAUCUCUUGUGGACCGUCACUUGGUGUGAUAAUUUAUCUAUGCCUCGUUGACUUUGAAGCAAAAUUUAUGGGAACCUGCUUAUAACCGUCCCUAACAAGGACAUUUUUCAACC
rnacentral:misc_RNA from 1 species